AGCGUAGGCGGGUAUUUAAGUUAGGAGUUUAAUUCUCGGGCUCAACCCGAGGCUGGCUUUUAAUACUGAAUAUCUUGAGUAUUGGAGAGGAUGAUGGAAUUCCAGGUGUAGCGGUGGAAUGCGUAGAUAUCUGGAAGAACACCAGUAGCGAAGGCGGUCAUCUGGCCAAAUACUGACGCUGAGGCUCGAAAGCUAGGGGAGCAAACAGGAUUAGAUACCCUGGUAGUCCUAGCCGUAAACGAUGGACACUAGUUGCCGGAGGAGUCAAUCUUUUCGGUGACGAAGUUAACGCAUUAAGUGUCCCGCCUGGGGAGUACGCUCGCAAGGGUGAA
rnacentral:rRNA from 1 species